rnacentral:snRNA from 1 species
GUGUUCACUUUGGCAGCACAUAUACUAAAAUUGGAACGAUAAAGAGAAAAUUAGCAUGGCCCCUGUGCAAGGAUGACACGCAAAUUUGUGAAGUGUUCCAUAUUUUU